rnacentral:rRNA from 1 species
AUUGAACGCUGGCGGCAUGCUUUACACAUGCAAGUCGAACGGCAGCGCGGGCUUCGGCCUGGCGGCGAGUGGCGAACGGGUGAGUAAUGCAUCGGAACGUGCCCAGUAGUGGGGGAUAGCCCGGCGAAAGCCGGAUUAAUACCGCAUACGACCUGAGGGUGAAAGCGGGGGACCGAAAGGCCUCGCGCCAUUGGAGCGGCCGAUGUCGGAUUAGCUCGUUGGUGGGGUAACGGCUUACCAAGGCGACGAUCCGUAGCUGGUCUGAGAGGACGACCAGCCACACUGGGACUGAGACACGGCCCAGACUCCUACGGGAGGCAGCAGUGGGGAAUUUUGGACAAUGGGGGCAACCCUGAUCCAGCCAUGCCGCGUGCGGGAAGAAGGCCUUCGGGUUGUAAACCGCUUUUGUUCGGGAAGAAAUCCUCUGGGCUAAUACCCCGGGGGGAUGACGGUACCGGAAGAAUAAGCACCGGCUAACUACGUG